CAGCAGCCGCGGUAAUACGGAGGGUGCAAGCGUUAAUCGGAAUUACUGGGCGUAAAGCGCACGCAGGCGGUUUGUUAAGUCAGGUGUGAAAUCCCCGAGCUUAACUUGGGAACUGCAUUUGAAACUGGCAAGCUAGAGUCUUGUAGAGGGGGGUAGAAUUCCAGGUGUAGCGGUGAAAUGCGUAGAGAUCUGGAGGAAUACCGGUGGCGAAGGCGGCCCCCUGGACAAAGACUGACGCUCAGGUGCGAAAGCGUGGGGAGCAAACAGGAUUAGAUACCCGAGUAGUCCCUGUCUCUUAUAC
rnacentral:rRNA from 1 species